rnacentral:rRNA from 1 species
GACGAACGCUGGCGGCGUGCUUAACACAUGCAAGUCGAGCGGAGCGGCGCACGGGUGAGUAACGCGUGAGUAACUGCCCCCCUCCCUGGGAUAACAGUUGGCAACGGCUGCUAAUACCGGAUAGUGGGGGAUGACUCGCGUCCUAUCAGCCUGUUGGCGGGGUAGUGGCCUACCACGGCGACGACGGGUAGCCGGCCUGAGAGGGCGACCGGCCAAAGUGGGCUGAGAUACGGCCCAAGCUAGUACGGGAGGCAGCAGUGGGGAAUAUUGCACAAUGGGGGAAACACGGAUGCAGCAACGCCGCGUGCGGGAUGACGGCCUUCGGGUUGUAAACCGCUUUAAGCCAUGACGGGGGAGUGGCAGAAGAAGCACCGGCUAACUACGUGCCAGCAGCCGCGGUAAUUC